rnacentral:rRNA from 1 species
AUACGGAGGGUGCAAGCGUUGUCCGGAUUUAUUGGGUUUAAAGGGUGCGUAGGCGGUCGAUUAAGUCAGUGGUGAAAUCCUCCCGCUCAACGGGAGAACUGCCAUUGAUACUGGUUGACUUGAGUACAGACGAGGUAGGCGGAAUUUAUGGUGUAGCGGUGAAAUGCAUAGAUACCAUAAAGAACACCGAUAGCGAAGGCAGCUUACUGGACUGUAACUGACGCUGAGGCACGAAAGCAUGGGUAGCGAACAGGAUUAGAUACCCUAGUAGUCC